rnacentral:rRNA from 1 species
GACGUAGGUGGCGAACGUUAUCCGGAAUUAUUGGGCGUAAAGGGUGCGUAGACGGCAUGAUAAGUUAUUAGUGGGAAAUCGAGGCUCAACCUCGUGGAAGCUGGUAAUACUGUUUUGCUUGAGUGCAGGAGAGGUUAACGGAACUCCAUGUGGAGCGGUGAAAUGCGUAGAUAUAUGGAAGAACAUCAAUAACGGCGAAGGCAGUUAACUAGACUGCUACUGACAUUGAGGCACGAAAGCGUGGGGAGCAAAACGG